CGGUCCAGACUCCUACGGGAGGCAGCAGUAGGGAAUCUUCCGCAAUGGGCGAAAGCCUGACGGAGCAACGCCGCGUGAGUGAUGAAGGGUUUCGGCUCGUAAAACUCUGUUAUUAGGGAAGAACAAAUGUGUAAGUAACUGUGCACAUCUUGACGGUACCUAAUCAGAAAGCCACGGCUAA
rnacentral:rRNA from 1 species